CCAGAGGCCGAGUGUGGUUUUAGCCACACUUUAGGGGGACACAUGUCCUUCAGAGGAACUAUGUGGAAGGAGAAUGUGAGAGGAACCCUGGAGGAAAGGCUGAAAGUGAUGCAUUAUGGAGCAGAAUGCUCUCAAGCUGGGCCAGUGGCCAACUGCAGAAAGGAGAGUGGCCGAGCAGGGCAGGUCAUAGAAGGCACAGGAUGGGGAAGGACACUGGAGACCAGGUUCCUGUAGCUUCCAGAGACCACCUGCAUUUGUUGGUUGAUAGCCUCUUCCUCGCAUCACCCUGAUCCUCUGCUUCUGUGGCCACAUUUCAAUCUCUCCAAAUCUGAGUCUUCUGCCUGUCUCCUCUACGGACCCUUGAGAUGACUUUGGGCCCAUCCAGAUCAUCCAAGAUAAUCUCCCCUUCUCAAGUUUCUUAAUCACUUCGGCAAGGUCUUUUUUGCCACAUAAAGUAAUAUUUGCACUGGGUUCAGGAAUCAGGAUGUGGGCAUCUUUGUGGGGGGAGUCACUAUUCCACCUACCACACAGGGCCCCUUCAACAAGUGAGAUUAGAUGAGAAAAUGUUGGUGAAGCACUGAGCCCACAGAUGGAGCAUAGUAGGUGUGGAUGCUGGUGAUAGUGAAGGGGUGAAUGGCUGACAAAGACCAGGUGACUAAUUUCACAGCUGCCAGAAAUCAGCCUCCAGGGACACACAAGGAGCUUUGCCACACGCUGAAUCAGAUAAGCCCUCUGACUUUGUUUUGCCCCAGAAGCAGACCUCAAGAAGAGGACUCCAGUGCAAGUAGUUUAUUUAGAAGGCAAGCCCACAAAACGGAAGUGGGAAAGCGAGACAGGCAAGGCAAGGAAACCAAUGGAGAAUGCCAUGAAGCUAGUUACCACCAUAGGCAGGUGGAGCUUAAUCCCACUGGGGAAUUGUGGAAAACAGUGUGGAGCUCUGCACCUCAGAGUUAUCCUACCUGAGAGGUGACAGGGCUGGGGUAUGGAUGCACCAAUUCCCUUCAGUCUGUUGCAAGUUGUUCCAGGGAGGGGGAGAGUGGAGUUAAUUCACCUACAUGCCCAUCUGCACACACACAUAUAAAGCAGGCUCUGCUAUUUACAAUAGCAAAGACUUGGAACCAACCCAAAUGCCCAUCAAUGAUAGACUGGAUAAAGAAAAUGUGGGCGUGUGGGAGGAUUACUCUUCCUGGCCCUGUUUAAGUGAGGUCUGGCCAAGUGAUUUGUCUUCACCAAUGAAAGAAAAGCAAAAAGAACAUGUCACUUCCAGGCAGAAUGUCUGGAAGCCAGUGGACAGUCUGCCUUGAUCCAUUGUCCUGCCUCAGAGGUCAUGGAAAUAUAUGUCAAGACUCAGUCUCUGUCAGCCUGGAUUCACCAGUGACUACAACCCUGCCAACCUCCCUGGGCAUGUAGGGGGAGAGAAAAAUAAGCUUCCAUUGUAUGAAGCUAAGAGAUCUGGAGAGUUAUUUCUUUCUGUAGCACACUCUGACUAAUAGAGUAGCUAGCAGCUAGGAGGUUUUUUAAUAUCUUUAUUUAGCAAAACGAAAUGGUGCCAAUCUUAGGUUGAUAUGAUUUUUUUUCUUUUGAUAUUUAAUUGCCCCGGGAAGUACAAUGCCUUGGACAUUCUGACACUGAUAACUGGAGUGUGGGGAGGUGUCCGGUUUAACACGGGUAACAGUUCUCAGGACAGGGGCCACUAUAUGGGACCCCUCAGCCCCAAUUCAACCAGAGUCACACCUGUUUUAUCUGCAUAAUGAAUAAAUGAACAAGCAUACCGGGCUUCUGCACAAGAUUUCACAUCAGGAAAGGGUUUUAUAGCUGAAAAAGAAAAAGUUAAAAGUUGUGCAGCAAAGACUAUGCUAAGCCCUGGGAAUGUUGUAAAGAAUGAGACAGACACAGGCUGCAUAUUGGCUAUGACUUUCAGCUUUGCGGGGCAUGGAGAGGCCGGAAGGGCAGACAAAAGACAAGUCAACUAAUUAAUUAAAUAACUGAAAGUAGAAACACUCUAUGUAGGUAAGAUAUGGGGACUGAAGUAGAGAUUAACAGGAGGUGGCAGGCUGGUAAGAUCUCUUGUCAGAAGAUAGUAUUUUAGUUGCAACCUGGAGGAUGGAAGGGCUACCAGGCAAAAAGGUGUGUAACCUGUUCAAGAGGCUGAAGGCCUGCGUAGCAGGAGGCAGGGCUGAGAAGGAGAGAAGAAGGAAAUAAGUUGGAGGAUCCACAGGAGCCUAAUAAGCAGGCUCUCACAAGCCACAAGGAGGUAAGCGAAAGAGAGCAGCAGUGGAUGAUGCUGCCUUGCCCAUGUCUACUUAAUAAACACUCAGACUUGAUGCCUUCAAAGCAGAAAUCCUGAUGUCCACUCGCUUGCUCUCCCCGUCUGCCUCGCCUCCUACCUUUCCCAUCUCAUAAAUGGCAGUUUCACUUUUCAAGUGACUCAGGCCCCAAACCUUGAGAUCCCUUUUGCCUCCAUGCCUAAUCCAUCAGGGAAUCCUACUGGCUCUGCCUUCCAAACGUACCCUGAAUUGGACCACCUUUCACCACCUCAGGGCUAUUAUCCUUGUCCAAGAUUCUAGCAUCUCUUAUCUGGACUUUUGCAGUAGCCAAGUAUUUUCCUUGAGGAGAGGUAGGUUGGAUAUGCAAGUCUGGACUGUGGACAGCCUCGAAAGCCAGUUUGAAUGUUCCCUUCUAAUUACAAUGAUUACUUUUUAUC
rnacentral:lncRNA from 1 species